GGGGGCCCCGCACAAGCGGUGGAGCAUGUGGUUUAAUUCGAUGAUACGCGAGGAACCUUACCUGGGCUCAAAUGUAUGUUGACGUAUUCUGAAAGGGAUACUUCUUCGGACAAUAUACAAGGUGCUGCAUGGUUGUCGUCAGCUCGUGCCGUGAGGUGUCGGGUUAAGUCCCAUAACGAGCGCAACCCCUAUCAUUAGUUGCCAUCAGGUCAAGCUGGGGACUCUAAUGAAACUGCCUACGCAAGUAGUGAGGAAGGUGGGGAUGACGUCAAAUCAGCACGGCCCUUACGUCCAGGGCUACACACGUGCUACAAUGGUCGGUACAGCGGGAAGCGAGGCAGUGAUGCCAAGCGGAUCCCUUAAAGCCGGUCUCAGUUCGGAUUGAAGUCUGCAACUCGACUUCAUGAAGCUGGAAUCGCUAGUAAUCGCAGAUCAGCCAAGCUGCGGUGAAUACGUUCCCGGGCCUU
rnacentral:rRNA from 1 species